AGCGAGCCGACAGCUCCUUCACGGAGAGCGAAGAGCACCUCCCUCGUCCUUGCUGGAGUAUGCGCCUUGUGCUGUCUGAGACGUCUAAAAAUGACCGCGUCCUCUCAUCUGAAACAGAGACCGGUGGGCGCGGGAGAAAACGUGGGCAUUUGCACUGCCCCCAUGUCAGAAUGGAUGGUGGGACCUGAGAGCAACCCACCAGGCAGCGGCCUGAUGCCACUGUCCUGCCUGUGGCACAGAUCCUGCACCCACCCCUGCAUCCCUAGAUGAGGCUAUCACCAAAACGAAACAAGUCUGGAUGUGAAGGAGCUAUGCGUGUUGAACUUAAGCCAAUUCCUACUGUUUUUGCUCCGUGACCGCUUCCCCCUGCUGUCAGCAUGUCUCACAAGCAGUUAUACCCAUUUAUCUUCAUCUCUUCCUUUCAGGAAACCAAGAGAUGAUGAGGCUACGAGACUUGCCCACAGACAUAGCUUGGGGUCUGCAGCAGAGCCAGAGGAAUGAGCCCUUCUCUUAGCUUAGAGAUGUGAUGAGCUGAGCUGCACCAGCCCCCCGUGAGGCCUACUGGGGCCCAGCAUGGCAUUCCUGAGAUAUUUGGCAUUCCUCCGGCCUUUGUUCAGCUGCCUCCCAUGGAGAUGACUCCAGCUGGGGAUGUUCCUGUCUAGUUCAUGAAGAAACAGCUAUUUUGGGAGGGGGUGAGCUAUCAGCCAGACCAGAGGUGUGCAGAGGGACCACUGGCUAGAGCAGUCACGCGUGGCCAGCCCGUACCCAGCCCAUGCUCCCUCACUCCCUCCCAUGAUCUCCAUCCCCUUAAGAGCCCGGGCUUCCACUCCCCCUGAGGAUGUAUCAAAAUGAAUGGCUCAAAUACAGAUGGCUUCACUUUCCCAACAACAGGACAACUCCAAAUCCCCACUGAAAAACUUCUUUUUGCAUCGCUCCACUAGGUGCGAGCAGGAUGGCCAGCUCUGCCUCCUAUAUCCCACCACAGACGUACAGAGAGCCCUGCACUUGUGUACUGCUUCUUAGCCCUCCGGGUUAGCCAGAGCUGUCAUUUCUCUGUUACCACUGCCAAAACACGAGAAGCUUCUCUCUUUUUGCAGGCUUGCACUGCUGCAUUCGGAUUUAGAGCGGUAUUUGCAAUGCUUUCUGUUUGAACAAUGGGCUCGCUCUCCACAAAUCCAGUCUUUGCACAGCCAGGAAAGGGCUGAUAUACUUUUUAAUAUGUGCACAUUGCAAACACUGCCGCAGUUCCGGUGUUCUUUGCCCUCAAAUCGCAGUCCCCAAACCAUGAGAUUUUGUAAAUGAAGUUAAUGACUCUU